rnacentral:rRNA from 1 species
GACGAACGCUGGCGGCGUGCCUAAUACAUGCCAGUUGAGCGCUGAAGGUUGGUACUUGUACCAACUGGAUGAGCAGCGAACGGGUGAGUAACGCGUGGGGAAUCUGCCUUUGAGCGGGGGACAACAUUUGGAAACGAAUGCUAAUACCGCAUAAAAACUUUAAACACAAGUUUUAAGUUUGAAAGAUGCAAUUGCAUCACUCAAAGAUGACCCCGCGUUGUAUUAGCUAGUUGGUGAGGUAAAGGCUCACCAAGGCGAUGAUACAUAGCCGACCUGAGAGGGUGAUCGGCCACAUUGGGACUGAGACACGGCCCAAACUCCUACGGGAGGCAGCAGUAGGGAAUCGUCGGCAAUGGACGAAAGUCUGACCGAGCAACGCCGCGUGAGGGAAGAAGGUUUUCGGAUCGUAAAACUCUGUUGGUAGAGAAGAACGUUGGUGAGAGUGGAAAGCUCAUCAAGUGACGGUAACUACCCAGAAAGGGACGGCUAACUACGUG